UUCUUAUUUUAAAAUUUUUUUGUACUUGAGUAGUAAGAGUAGGAUAAGCUGUUUUAAUCUUUCUAUGAUACUUGAAACUUAAAAGGCUUGGCGGUGUUAUAUAUCCUUCCAGGGGAGCCUGUUUAUUAAUUUGAUAAUCCACAAUUUAUACUUACUUUUUUUUGAAUUUUACAGCUUGUGUAUUGCUGUCGUCAGUUUAUUUCGUAAGAAGGUUAUAAAAAACUUUAUAAUGUAGUAGUUAUGAUGUCAAGUCAAAAUGCAGCUUAUAGAAAAGGUUUAUAAAGUGGGCUACGAUUUAUAAUAUUUAAUCGAACUAGGCUAUGUAAUUAGCUUAUGAAGUUGGACUUGGUAGUAACGAGACAAAUAGUGAGUUCUUGUGAAUUAGGUUUUAUAAUGCG
rnacentral:rRNA from 1 species